UUGUGACGCUGCUCUCUUGUGACACACCUGGAAUAUAAACCAUCAGCAGCAGAGCAGUGUGUGCAUCUACAGCAAGUGAACCGGGCUGAACCAGCGCUGCUUAAAACAAGAGAACAUCAAGCAGGAGUGACACCGUUUAAAUAGAUCGGGCUCUCCAGGACAAGGCGGAAAGAAAAACAUGCCUCUUUUGUCAAAGCCAGACAAAGCCCCACAGACCUUAAAGUGGGCAAUUCAAAAUUCUGAAGGCUGGACUUCUGCUUUCCAGCCUGUCUUCUCUUAUCUCCAGUCAUCCGAGAGGCUUCUGCCAGCCUGCGAGCUGUCAAAGUAGCCCUGGAAUCAAACGCCACUCCAUGCUCAGCUAUGAUCAAAGGAACACAGGUAAGGCAGCCACAGAGACACAUACAAUUGGCAUCUA